rnacentral:rRNA from 1 species
UGGGAAUCUUCCGCAAUGGACGAAAGUCUGACGGAGCAACGCCGCGUGUAUGAUGAAGGUCUUCGGAUUGUAAAGUACUGUCAUUGGGGAAGAACGGUUUUCUUGAGAAUAUUGAGAAGACAUGACGGUACCCAAGGAGGAAGCCCCGGCUAACUACGUGCCAGCAGCCGCGGUAAUACGUAGGGGGCAAGCGUUGUCCGGAAUUAUUGGGCGUAAAGGGCGCGUAGGCGGGCCUUUAAGUCCGGUGUGAAAGAUCAGGGCUCAACCCUGAGAGUGCAUCGGAAACUGGAGGCCUUGAGGACAGGAGAGGAAAGUGGAAUUCCACGUGUAGCGGUGAAAUGCGUAGAUAUGUGGAGGAACACCAGUGGCGAAGGCGACUUUCUGGACUGUAACUGACGCUGAGGCGCGAAAGCGUGGGGAGCAAAACAGGAUUAGAUACCCUGGUAGUCCACGCCGUAAAACGAUGAGUGCUAGGUGUAGAGGGCUAUCGACCCCUUCUGUGCCGCAGUUAACACAAUAAGCACUCCCGCCUGGGGAGGUACGGCCGCAAGG